UCCUACGGGGGGCAGCAGUAGGGAAUUUUCGUCAAUGGGCGCAAGCCUGAACGAGCAAUGCCGCGUGAACGAGGAAGGUCUUCGGAUCGUAAAGUUCUGUUGAAGGGGAGAAAGAGCGGAGAGAGGAAAUGGUCUCCGAUUGAUAUUACCCUUCGAGGAAGUCACGGCUAACUACGUGCCAGCAGCCGCGGUAAUACGUAGGUGGCGAGCGUUAUCCGGAAUGAUUGGGCGUAAAGGGUGCGUAGGCGGCCUGCUAAGUCUGGAGUGAAAGGUACCGGCUCAACCGGUACAGGCUCUGGAAACUG
rnacentral:rRNA from 1 species